AAGCGCUUAUGACCAGACUUGUGCCGGGCGGAUCAUCCUGUGUUCUCACUGGUGCACUCCGUCCGGUUCAGGCCAGCAUCGGUUCUGGGGGGGGCAUAAAGGCCGCAGGAACGUAGCUCUUCGGAGUGUUAUAGCCCGGCGUGCCAUGCCCCCGCCCGGACCGAGGUUCGCGCUCCGCAAGGACGCUGGCGUAAUGGUCCCCAGCG
rnacentral:rRNA from 1 species